GACGAACGCUGGCGGCGUGCUUAACACAUGCAAGUCGAACGGAAAGGCCCUGCUUUUGUGGGGUGCUCGAGUGGCGAACGGGUGAGUAACACGUGAGUAACCUGCCCUUGACUUUGGGAUAACUUCAGGAAACUGGGGCUAAUACCGGAUAGGAGCUCCUGCUGCAUGGUGGGGGUUGGAAAGUUUCGGCGGUUGGGGAUGGACUCGCGGCUUAUCAGCUUGUUGGUGGGGUAGUGGCUUACCAAGGCUUUGACGGGUAGCCGGCCUGAGAGGGUGACCGGCCACAUUGGGAAUGAGAUACGGCCCCGACUUCUACGGGAGGCCGCAGUGGGGAAUAUUGCACAAUGGGCGGAAGCCUGAUGCAGCAACGCCGCGUGCGGGAUGACGGCCUUCGGGUUGUAAACCGCUUUCGCCUGUGACGAAGCGUGAGUGACGGUAAUGGGUAAAGAAGCACCGGCUAACUACGUG
rnacentral:rRNA from 1 species